GCCAGACUCCUACGGGAGGCAGCAGUGAGGAAUAUUGGUCAAUGGCCGAAGGGCUGAACCAGCCAAGCCGCGUGAAGGAAUAAGGCCCUACGGGUCGUAAACUUCUUUAGUCAGGGAACAAAGGGAGCCACGCGUGGCGCUGUGAGUGUACCUGAAGAAUAAGCAUCGGCUAACUCCGUGCCAGCAGCCGCGGUAAUACGGAGGAUGCGAGCGUUAUCCGGAUUUAUUGGGUUUAAAGGGUGCGCAGGCGGAUUUUUAAGUCAGCGGUCAAAUCGUGGGGCUCAACCCCAUCCAGCCGUUGAAACUGGGGAUCUAGAGUGUGCGAGAGGUAUGCGGAAUGCGUGGUGUAGCGGUGAAAUGCAUAGAUAUCACGCAGAACCCCGAUUGCGAAGGCAGCCUGCCGCAGCGUUACUGACGCUGAAGCUCGAAAGCGCGGGUAUCGAACAGGAUUAGAUACCCCAGUA
rnacentral:rRNA from 1 species